CCCCGUCUCUCUGUCUCUCCCUCAGUGUCUCUAUCUCUCCCCAUGUCUCUGUCUCUCCCCAUCUCUCUGUCUCUCCCCCGUCUGUCUCUCCCCGUCUCUCUGUCUCUCCCUCAUAUCUGUCUCUCCCUCAGUGUCUCUGUCUCUCCCCCAUGUCUCUGUCUCUCCCUCAGUGUCUCUGUCUCUCCCUCAUAUCUCUCUGUCUCUCCCCCAUCUGUCUCUCCCCGUCUCUCUGUCUCUCCCUCAUAUCUGUCUCUCCCUCAGUGUCUCUAUCUCUCCCCCAUGUCUCUGUCUCUCCCCGUCUCUCUGUCUCUCCCUCAUGUUUCUGUCUCUCCCUCAGUGUCUCUCUCUCUCAUAUCUCUCUGUCUCUCCCUCAUGUCUCUGUCUCUCCCUCUGUCUCUCUGUCUCUCCCUCAUAUCUCUCUGUCUCUCCCCAUCUCUCUGUCUCUCCCCCGUCUGUCUCUCCCCGCCUCUCUGUCUCUCCCUCAUGACUCUGUCUCUCCCCCGUGUCGCUCUGUCUCUCCCUCAGUGUCUCCACCUCUCCAUCGUUUCUCUCUGGCCCUCCCUCAGUAUCUCUGGCCCAGGCUCCCUCUUCCCUACAUUCGCUCUGGGCCCGCCCACCCCUGCUCCAUUCCUGGCGUUAUCAAUAUUUACUGAGGUGAAGGCGUCUGGCCAUCUAAUUUGCCUGACACCCUCACCCAGCCAUACCUUUCCUCUCACAGACACCACCCAAGGGCUCCCUAGAGAGGGAAGGCAGGGUGGGGGACCCACAGCCUCAGUGAUGCUCAGAAUGCCCCCAGUUCAGAGUCCACAGCUCUGGCCCCAGACCUGGCCCCAGCUGCAUUCUCUCUUAUAAGUCAAGGGCAGGCUCUGCCCACAGUGCCCUGGGGGGCGAAGGCUGAUUGGCCCAAGCCAAACGUGACCCUCUCUCUCCCCUUGCAUUGAUUGGCUGAGGUUAGUCGUGGAGUGUAUCUGUGGCCAGUGAGAUGGGGAAUUCUGCCAAGGGACUUCUGGGAACAAUUUCUUCAUUCUUAAGAGGAUGUAUGAAGGCCUUUGCCUGCCUUGACCAUAGCCACGUGAGGAAGAGAUGGCAGGAGCUUUGGCAGCCAUCAUGGAGCUAUAAGGAACUGGGCUGAGAAGAG
rnacentral:lncRNA from 1 species